AGGGCUGGAAAAAAAAUACCGAUUACCAUAUACCAUGGUAUACCAACCAAGGAUUACCGAAAAAUUACCGAAACAACGGUUACCAUUGUCUACGGUACGGUAUUAGUACCGUACCAUUACAAUAUGGUACGGUAUUGGUAUUGUGUUUCUAAUACCACGGUAAUACCGUACCGUACCGCAAUUUAUAUUUUAAUCCGAUUAAUAUAUUUUUUUCGAUAUUAUUUUUUGUAAUUCUAUUUUGUUUACUUUGAAGCUUAUAAAUGUCAUCAAUUAUUUUUUCCUUAAGUUAGUGGUAGUGUAGUGUAUUUGUUUUUUUUUUUUUUUUUUUCUACAAAGUUGAAUUUUGUAGUUCAACAUAUAUGUUCUACUAAAUUGUCUUUUAUGUUUCUUAUAGCCAACUAAUUUUUGUUAUAUAUGAUGUAUGAAUAUUUUAUUCUUUUACCUACAUGUAUGUAUAGCAUUAGUAAAGUAUUUAUUGUAUGUAAUAAUUAUUAAGUACAAUCAAGUUCCUAACAAAUACCUAGUUGUUCCAUUAAACAACAUUUACAUUAUCAUGG
rnacentral:lncRNA from 1 species